UGAGCAACCUGCCCCUGACUCUGGGAUAAGCGCUGGAAACGGCGUCUAAUACUGGAUAUGUGACGUGACCGCAUGGUCUGCGUUUGGAAAGAUUUUUCGGUUGGGGAUGGGCUCGCGGCCUAUCAGCUUGUUGGUGAGGUAAUGGCUCACCAAGGCGUCGACGGGUAGCCGGCCUGAGAGGGUGACCGGCCACACUGGGACUGAGACACGGCCCAGACUCCUACGGGAGGCAGCAGUGGGGAAUAUUGCACAAUGGGCGGAAGCCUGAUGCAGCAACGCCGCGUGAGGGAUGACGGCCUUCGGGUUGUAAACCUCUUUUAGCAGGGAAGAAGCGAAAGUGACGGUACCUGCAGAAAAAGCGCCGGCUAACUACGUGCCAGCAGCCGCGGUAAUACGUAGGGCGCAAGCGUUAUCCGGAAUUAUUGGGCGUAAAGAGCUCGUAGGCGGUUUGUCGCGUCUGCUGUGAAAUCCCGAGGCUCAACCUCGGGCCUGCAGUGGGUACGGGCAGACUAGAGUGCGGUAGGGGAGAUUGGAAUUCCUGGUGUAGCGGUGGAAUGCGCAGAUAUCAGGAGGAACACCGAUGGCGAAGGCAGAUCUUUGGGCCGUAACUGACGCUGAGGAGCGAAAGGGUGGGGAGCAAACAGGCUUAGAUACCCUGGUAGUCCACCCCGUAAACGUUGGGAACUAGUUGUGGGGUCCAUUCCACGGAUUCCGUGACGCAGCUAACGCAUUAAGUUCCCCGCCUGGGGAGUACGGCCGCAAGGCUAAAACUCAAAGGAAUUGACGGGGACCCGCACAAGCGGCGGAGCAUGCGGAUUAAUUCGAUGCAACGCGAAGAACCUUACCAAGGCUUGACAUAUACGAGAACGGGCCAGAAAUGGUCAACUCUUUGGACACUCGUAAACAGGUGGUGCAUGGUUGUCGUCAGCUCGUGUCGUGAGAUGUUGGGUUAAGUCCCGCAACGAGCGCAACCCUCGUUCUAUGUUGCCAGCACGUAAUGGUGGGAACUCAUGGGAUACUGCCGGGGUCAACUCGGAGGAAGGUGGGGAUGACGUCAAAUCAUCAUGCCCCUUAUGUCUUGGGCUUCACGCAUGCUACAAUGGCCGGUACAAAGGGCUGCAAUACCGUGAGGUGGAGCGAAUCCCAAAAAGCCGGUCCCAGUUCGGAUUGAGGUCUGCAACUCGACCUCAUGAAGUCGGAGUCGCUAGUAAUCGCAGAUCAGCAACGCUGCGGUGAAUACGUUCCCGGGUCUUGUACACACCGC
rnacentral:rRNA from 1 species